AGUUGAGAAGUGAAACAUUACAUCUAGUUUCGACCUAGAAUUUGGCUUAACUUUUAGCCCUCAACUA
rnacentral:tRNA from 2 species